rnacentral:snoRNA from 1 species
ACGACCUUACUUGAACAGGAUCUGUUCUAUAGGAUCGUACCUCUGUAUCCUUUAACACUAAGGAGACAGGAACCUAAGUCUGGUUGAGGAAUCAUGACCGUGUGAUCAUAGCGUGAGUAAUGGCUUGAUGAUUCUCGUGAUCAUCAUGGCUGUAGAGGAUCGUUCCCCAGUCAUGUUCUGGCUUGGGAUGGUCAUGCGGUUGUCUGACAGACU